GAAAUGCGAUAAGUAGUGUGAAUUGCAGAAUUCAGUGAAUCAUCGAAUCUUUGAACGCACAUUGCGCCCCUCGGUAUUCCGUGGGGCAUGCCUGUUCGAGCGUCAUCUACACCCUCAAGCUCUGCUUGGUGUUGGGCGUCUGUCCCGCCUCCUUCGCGCGCGGACUCGCCCCAAUUCCAUUGGCGGCGGCCCUUGCCUCCCUCUCGCGCAGCACAUUGCGCUUCUCGAGGCGCGGCGGACCGCGUCCAGCAAGCAACCGUCACACCGUCUUUGACCUCGGAUCGGGUAGGGAUACCCGCUGAACUUAAGC
rnacentral:misc_RNA from 1 species